rnacentral:rRNA from 1 species
AUUGAACGCUGGCGGCAGGCUUAACACAUGCAAGUCGAGCGAGCGGCGGACGGGAGAGUAAUGUAGGGGAACAUGCCUGAGAGAGGGGGAUAAAUACUGGAAACGGUAGCUAAUACCGUAUACCCUAAGAUGUGCACAGAUGGGAUUAGCUAGUAGGUGGGAUAAAGGCUCACCUAGGCGACGAUCACUCGCUGGUCUGAGAGGAUGACCAGCCACACUGGAACUACAGCACGGUCUAGACUCAUACGGGAGGCAGCAGUGGGGAAUAUUGCACAAUGGGCGCAAGCCUGAUGCAGCCAUGCCGCGUGUGUGAAGAAGGCCUUCGGGUUGUAAAGCACUUUCAGCGGGGAGGCGUUACCCGCUGAAGAAGCACCGGCUAACUCCGUGCCAGCAGCCGCGGUAAUUC